rnacentral:rRNA from 1 species
GGCAAGUCUGGUGCCAGCAGCCGCGGUAAUUCCAGCUCCAAUAGCGUAUAUUAAAGUUGUUGCAGUUAAAAGCUCGUAGUUGAAUUUCUGGCUAUUCUUACUCUGGCUUUAGUCAGUUUAGGGGUAGUCAUCCGUCUUCGAAACCAUUCCGGCCUUCACUGGUCGAUUGGCGGAGAAGGCAAUUUACCUUGAAAAAUUGAGUGUUCCAGGCAGGCUUAGCCUGAAUAGUGCAGCAUGGAAUAAUACAAGAGGACUUGGCUCCAGUUGUUGGUGUAUGGCGCUGAGUAAUGAUUAACAGGGAUAGUUGGGGCAUUCGUAUUAAUUGUCAGAGGUGAAAUUCUUGGAUUUAUUAAAGACGAACCUGUGCGAAAGCAUUUGCCAAGGAUGUUUUCAUUAAUCAAG